rnacentral:misc_RNA from 1 species
CGCCGGCAUGGCGCUGUUCGGCGUGAUUUUCAAUCUCGGGGUGUAUUAUCCGCUGCGCCACCGCACCUUUCUGCCGGUCAUUAUCGCCACCAUCGGUGCAUCGAUCUUUCUGGCGAAUUCGGUGCUGGCGAUCUACGGACCCGCGCCGCAGGUGCUGGAAGGCUGGUUCGAGACGCCGGGCAUCCAGUUGGGGCCGGUCUACCU